rnacentral:rRNA from 1 species
AUGUAUGAAGUCUUUUCUCUUGGUGUUGGAAGACAAACUGAGAUGAACCAUUUGUUUUCGUUUAAUUUUAGUUUGUUGAACAAGGUUGCCAAAAGUAGUAUGCUCAGCCACUGCGGCAUGAUCAACUUCUUUAUACUGGACAAAUCAAAUGUAGGUUCAAGUGGCUUCGCGACAAGGUUUGAAAACAUGCUUCAGGGUGACCAUGGGAUGCCCACAGGAGAGUUAACUUUGUUAAAUACACUAUCAGUAGAAGAAGCACAAACAGCCCUCCACAAAAACUUCUACAGUUUUGUGUCUACAUCGCAGUACAAAAGACGGCUAGCAAUGAGCUAUCAUGUCGAACAAGCAAAGCUCAGUUGGUGA